AUUUAGCCAUGCUAGUCGAGCGAGUUCAGACUCGCGGCGCAUAGCUCAGUAACACGUGGCCAAGCUACCCUUCAGUCAGCGAUACCCUCGGGAAACUGAGGUUAACAGCUGAUACAAAACGCCAGCUGGAAUGCGGCGUUUCAGAAAGAGAUCGCUGAGGGAUGCGGCUGCGGCCGAUUAGGUAGACGGUGGGGUAACGGCCCACCGUGCCAGUAAUCGGUACGGGUGAUGAGAGUCAGAGCCCGGAGACGGAAUCUGAGACAAGAUUCCGGGCCCUACGGGGCGCAGCAGGCGCGAAACCUUUACACUGCACGGAACGUGCGAUAGGGGAAUCCCAAGUGCGAGGGCAUAUUAGCCCUCGCUUUUCUCGACUGUAAGGUGGUCGACGAAUAAGAGCUGGCAAGACCGGUGCCAGCCGCCGCGGUAAUACCGGCAGCUCAAGUGAUGUCCCAUAUUAUUGGGCCUAAAGCGUCCGUAGCU
rnacentral:rRNA from 1 species